AACGCGAAGAACCUUACCAGGUCUUGACAUCCUUUGAAGCUUUUAGAGAUAGAAGUGUUCUCUUCGGAGACAAAGUGACAGGUGGUGCAUGGUCGUCGUCAGCUCGUGUCGUGAGAUGUUGGGUUAAGUCCCGCAACGAGCGCAACCCUUAUUGUUAGUUGCCAGCAUUCAGAUGGGCACUCUAGCGAGACUGCCGGUGACAAACCGGAGGAAGGCGGGGACGACGUCAGAUCAUCAUGCCCCUUAUGACCUGGGCUACACACGUGCUACAAUGGCGUAUACAACGAGUUGCCAACCCGCGAGGGUGAGCUAAUCUCUUAAAGUACGUCUCAGUUCGGAUUGUAGUCUGCAACUCGAC
rnacentral:rRNA from 1 species